GAAACCGAUGGAGGAGCGAUCCCCAGGAGUACCGCGGAGGAGGGCUGGGACCCGACGAUACCGUGGGGAAGGGGAGGAUCGCCGAAGGAACGAGGGUAUUCCCAGACCCUCGCUCUUGGGCGACCGGGCUAAUACCCGGCGACUGUCGCGAAGGCUCACAGCCUCGCGGAGAGCCUAAGGUACG
rnacentral:ncRNA from 1 species